rnacentral:rRNA from 1 species
AAAUUGAAGAGUUUGAUCAUGGCUCAGAUUGAACGCUGGCGGCAGGCCUAACACAUGCAAGUCGAGCGGUAGCACAGAGAGCUUGCUCUCGGGUGACGAGCGGCGGACGGGUGAGUAAUGUCUGGGAAACUGCCUGAUGGAGGGGGAUAACUACUGGAAACGGUAGCUAAUACCGCAUAAUGUCGCAAGACCAAAGUGGGGGACCUUCGGGCCUCAUGCCAUCAGAUGUGCCCAGAUGGGAUUAGCUAGUAGGUGGGGUAAUGGCUCACCUAGGCGACGAUCCCUAGCUGGUCUGAGAGGAUGACCAGCCACACUGGAACUGAGACACGGUCCAGACUCCUACGGGAGGCAGCAGUGGGGAAUAUUGCACAAUGGGCGCAAGCCUGAUGCAGCCAUGCCGCGUGUGUGAAGAAGGCCUUCGGGUUGUAAAGCACUUUCAGCGGGGAGGAAGGCGUUAAGGUUAAUAACCUUGGCGAUUGACGUUACCCGCAGAAGAAGCACCGGCUAACUCCGUGCCAGCAGCCGCGGUAAUACGGAGGGUGCAAGCGUUAAUCGGAAUUACUGGGCGUAAAGCGCACGCAGGCGGUCUGUCAAGUCGGAUGUGAAAUCCCCGGGCUCAACCUGGGAACUGCAUUCGAAACUGGCAGGCUAGAGUCUUGUAGAGGGGGGUAGAAUUCCAGGUGUAGCGGUGAAAUGCGUAGAGAUCUGGAGGAAUACCGGUGGCGAAGGCGGCCCCCUGGACAAAGACUGACGCUCAGGUGCGAAAGCGUGGGGAGCAAACAGGAUUAGAUACCCUGGUAGUCCACGCCGUAAACGAUGUCGAUUUGGAGGUUGUGCCCUUGAGGCGUGGCUUCCGGAGCUAACGCGUUAAAUCGACCGCCUGGGGAGUACGGCCGCAAGGUUAAAACUCAAAUGAAUUGACGGGGGCCCGCACAAGCGGUGGAGCAUGUGGUUUAAUUCGAUGCAACGCGAAGAACCUUACCUGGUCUUGACAUCCACAGAACUUUCCAGAGAUGGAUUGGUGCCUUCGGGAACUGUGAGACAGGUGCUGCAUGGCUGUCGUCAGCUCGUGUUGUGAAAUGUUGGGUUAAGUCCCGCAACGAGCGCAACCCUUAUCCUUUGUUGCCAGCGGUCCGGCCGGGAACUCAAAGGAGACUGCCAGUGAUAAACUGGAGGAAGGUGGGGAUGACGUCAAGUCAUCAUGGCCCUUACGACCAGGGCUACACACGUGCUACAAUGGCAUAUACAAAGAGAAGCGACCUCGCGAGAGCAAGCGGACCUCAUAAAGUAUGUCGUAGUCCGGAUUGGAGUCUGCAACUCGACUCCAUGAAGUCGGAAUCGCUAGUAAUCGUAGAUCAGAAUGCUACGGUGAAUACGUUCCCGGGCCUUGUACACACCGCCCGUCACACCAUGGGAGUGGGUUGCAAAAGAAGUAGGUAGCUUAACCUUCGGGAGGGCGCUUACCACUUUGUGAUUCAUGACUGGGGUGAAGUCGUAACAAGGUAACCGUAGGGGAACCUGCGGUUGGAUCACCUCCUUACCUUAAAGAA